CCUACGGGUGGCAGCAGUGAGGAAUAUUGGUCAAUGGGCGGAAGCCUGAACCAGCCAAGUAGCGUGCGGGAUGAAGGCCCUACGGGUCGUAAACCGCUGUUGCACGGGGAUAACACCCGCCACUUGUGGAGGUCUGCAGGUACCGUGCGAAUAAGGGCCGGCGAAUUCCGGGCCAGCAGCCGCGGUAAUACGGAAGGCCCGAGCGUUAUCCGGAUUCAUGGGGCUUAAAGGGAGCGUCGGCGGGCGUGCAAGUCAGCUGGAAACUCGCGCGGCUCAACCGCGCCCCGCAGUUGAAACUGGCCGCCUUGCGUUCACAACAGGCAGGCGGAAUUCGUGGUGUAGCGGU
rnacentral:rRNA from 1 species